rnacentral:rRNA from 1 species
UACGGAGGGAGCUAGCGUUAUUCGGAAUUACUGGGCGUAAAGGGCACGUAGGCGGUCUUGUAAGUUGGAAGUGAAAGCCCAAGGCUCAACCUUGGAACUGCUUUCAAAACUGCGAGACUAGAGAUUGAUAGGGGAUAGCGGAAUUCCUAGUGUAGAGGUGAAAUUCUUAGAUAUUAGGAGGAACACCGGUGGCGAAGGCGGCUAUCUGGAUCAAUACUGACGCUAAGGUGCGAAAGCGUGGGGAGCAAACAGG